rnacentral:rRNA from 1 species
AUUGAACGCUGGCGGCAUGCCUUACACAUGCAAGUCGAACGGUAACGGGUCCUUCGGGAUGCCGACGAGUGGCGAACGGGUGAGUAAUAUAUCGGAACGUGCCCAGUAGUGGGGGAUAACUGCUCGAAAGAGCAGCUAAUACCGCAUACGACCUGAGGGUGAAAGGGGGGGAUCGCAAGACCUCUCGCUAUUGGAGCGGCCGAUAUCAGAUUAGCUAGUUGGUGGGGUAAAGGCCUACCAAGGCAACGAUCUGUAGUUGGUCUGAGAGGACGACCAGCCACACUGGGACUGAGACACGGCCCAGACUCCUACGGGAGGCAGCAGUGGGGAAUUUUGGACAAUGGGCGCAAGCCUGAUCCAGCAAUGCCGCGUGCAGGAAGAAGGCCUUCGGGUUGUAAACUGCUUUUGUCAGGGAAGAAAUCUUCUGGGCUAAUACCCCGGGAGGAUGACGGUACCUGAAGAAUAAGCACCGGCUAACUACGUGCCAGCAGCCGCGGUAAUACGUAGGGUGCGAGCGUUAAUCGGAAUUACUGGGCGUAAAGCGUGCGCAGGCGGCUUUGCAAGACAGAUGUGAAAUCCCCGGGCUCAACCUGGGAACUGCAUUUGUGACUGCAAGGCUAGAGUACGGCAGAGGGGGAUGGAAUUCCGCGUGUAGCAGUGAAAUGCGUAGAUAUGCGGAGGAACACCAAUGGCGAAGGCAAUCCCCUGGGCCUGUACUGACGCUCAUGCACGAAAGCGUGGGGAGCAAACAGGAUUAGAUACCCUGGUAGUCCACGCCCUAAACGAUGUCAACUGGUUGUUGGACGGCUUGCUGUUCAGUAACGAAGCUAACGCGUGAAGUUGACCGCCUGGGGAGUACGGCCGCAAGGUGGAAACUCAAAGGAAUUGACGGGGACCCGCACAAGCGGUGGAUGAUGUGGUUUAAUUCGAUGCAACGCGAAAAACCUUACCUACCCUUGACAUGUCAAGAAUUCUGCAGAGAUGUGGAAGUGCUCGAAAGAGAACUUGAACACAGGUGCUGCAUGGCCGUCGUCAGCUCGUGUCGUGAGAUGUUGGGUUAAGUCCCGCAACGAGCGCAACCCUUGUCAUUAGUUGCUACGCAAGAGCACUCUAAUGAGACUGCCGGUGACAAACCGGAGGAAGGUGGGGAUGACGUCAGGUCCUCAUGGCCCUUAUGGGUAGGGCUACACACGUCAUACAAUGGCCGGUACAGAGGGCUGCCAACCCGCGAGGGGGAGUCAAUCCCAGAAAACCGGUCGCAGUCCGGAUCGUAGUCUGCAACUCGACUGCGUGAAGUCGGAAUCGCUAGUAAUCGCGGAUCAGCUUGCCGCGGUGAAUACGUUCCCGGGUCU